UGGGAGGGGGGAGUGGAGGAGAUUGGGGCAUCUCCAGCCCUGGCAGAGAGCUCAAGGGCUUCGAGGCUGGUCUAUUCUAUAUUUAUUGUUUCGUCUUCAUUUACUAACAAAUCUCUAGUUGAGGAACCACUGGAGGCAGCAGUGACAGCCUCUUCGGAAGAAGGAGACUAUGUUGCCCCGGCAGAGGAACCUCUACUAGGGGAGGACCAGGAAGAGGAGGCGGCAGCGCCGUUAACCUCGGGCCCCGAAGCCUCUGAAGAAGCUGGAGUCGGGGCAGUGCAGGCCCCAGGGACAGCCCAGGAGGAGGGAUUGGAACCGGGAACGGAGGGAAAGGAUCAAGAGGAGACAGUCAGGGAACCUGAGGCUGGCGAAGCGUUGAGUACGAAGUGCCAAGACAGCGGAUGUCACCCAACUCUAAGCUGUAUCCCGGUACCACCUCCCCGAGCUCCCCGGACCGAAUCCCCUAACUCCGGGCUGUGCGAGACUGAGACCUCGGGGAGCGAAGGAACCAGCGGGGCUGUCAGCGUCCUGGACAACCGAGAAGGGAGUUCGGACGUGAUGGCCUCUGAGGGAGCGGAGCAGGAGGCGGGGGAGCCUCUGGGUUUUGCCUCGGUUUCCUCCUUAGUCUCCAGCCCCUCGUUACCGCAAUGCUGA
rnacentral:lncRNA from 1 species